CUAUGUAAAGAAGACUGGCCUCUAACUUAUAGAGAUCUGCCUGUUCUUCAGAAGUAAAGCUGUGUGCUAUCAUAUAAUUUUUACAUGAUAUGUGUUAGUAUUUUGCCUGCAUGUAUGUCAGUGUCCUACUUGCAAGUGUACUGCCCAAGUAUGCCAGAAGUGGCUGUCAGAGUCCCAUGGAACUAGUUACAGACUGUUGUGAUUAGCAAUUUGGGUGCUGGAAAUUGAACCCAGGUGCUCUGGAAGAUCAGUCAGUGUUCUUGAGCACUGAGAUAUCUCUCCAGCCCCUGUCAUUUUAUGCUAUACAUUUAAGGUUCCUUAUAUAUUGUGCAUACUAGUCUCUUGCUGGAUAAUGAAUUUGCAGAUAUAUUCUCUUAAUCCUGCAGAUAGUUUCCUUUGCUGUGCAAAAACAUCCUGGAUUAGCUUGUCCCCAUUUGUCUUAAUAUAUCUGUUUCAUGUCACUUUCUAAUGCUUUAGAUAUCAAUAACCUGAGGCAAGUGAAGUGGAAGUUUCUGGAUAUGUUAGCUGACGCAGACUCAACUCACAUGGUGUUUUGCUGAUACAGACUCAUGUGAUGUUUUGCUGAGACAAGACCCCUGAGAGGACAUGUGAUGUGUGGAGAGAAUAUAAAUAGGACUCAACAGACAGUGACGGCACACUUACAUAGCUAGCUUUGCAAUGUUUUGUCGGUCUCAUUCUUAGUCUUCACUUCAUUGAGAGAAGCAUGCCAGAUAACUUCUCCUGGCAUCUCUGCUGGUCCUGGUCUCUCCUGCUGACUCCUGCCAAUUGGAUGGAGGCCUGGCAGUUUCUGUUGGGUCUUGCCAGCACUGCUGAUUCAUGUUUUGUAUCCUGACACUACUGAACUGGACUGCUGGUAUCCUACAACGGGGGUUGGAGUCGCCCGAGGAACUACUUCUAAACAGUCUUUACAAAGUUGAUCACUUCCCUCUCAGCUGUGAUUGAUGUCUAAGUCUGACUUACUUUGCCUUGAUGGUGCUACCAAACUCGAGUGAUAUUCCACUGAUGUCCAGAUCUCAAAGUGAUAGAACCCUGCUUGAAGGAAAGCACCUUUACCUGCCGAGCUGUUUUGCUGGCCCUACAGCCUGUUCUAUAGAAGACUUGGGCACCCAUGUAUUUUAACAUCUAAAAGGAAUCCUGACGGUAACUAAUUCCCUACAAAUAUAGAGGAAGAAUGUAUUUGUACUGCAUUAUAUUCCUAAAUAACAUACUGCAUCUUUGCUUUUAUUUUUAAAGCUCAUCGCAUCUAAAUUCAUCUUUCUAGAUUUUGGUUUUCAUUCAAGACUGCAUUUUUAGGAUUAAAUUUGUGUAUCUAUGUAGCCAUAAUUAAUUCACUUCAGUUUCUUCUUGCCAUUUCAUUGUGUAAAAAUAACACAAUUUAUUUAUCUUUCCUUCUUUGGGCUGUUGCCAUUUUAUUGCUACUGUUGUAGAGAGCUCUGGUGUAAGCAUUCUGGUACAUGACUCUUGAAGUUCAUAUGCAAAGAUUUUCAUAAACUCAGGGUCUAAACUGGGCUUUACAUUAUUAUACAUAAUGCAUAACACACAUUUGUAUGAUAUAUACCUGCUCACAGCUAACUCUGUAACUCUUGGUUCUUCCUUUUCCUCAUCUCCAUCUCUGUGUCCCCUUCUUUUACCUUUUUCCAAGUGAGGGAGGAGCUCACUGUGGUUUUAAGCACUCAUUUCCUAAGCUGAAUGCUUUCUUGUGGGUCACACUCCUCUGUAAGAAGCCUAUUUGUGCGUUUCCUCCAUUUCUCCACAGAGGUUUCUUUUUUAUUAUUAGUUUUAUAAAAUCUAUGUCGAAAUUAUUUCCUUCCAUUUUUGCUUUUUCUCCUCCUCCUCCUCCCCCUUGUCCUCUUCUUUAAUUUAAAAAUGUUUUGAUGAACUUAACUGUUAAGUUUUACCAUAGAUUAAUAUGUCUACAUAUUUUCUUAUGGCUUCUGUUCUGUCUUAUAUAAAAAAUUUGUUUUGUCUUCUGAGGUUAUAAAGAUAGACACUCUAUGAAAUUAUUCAACUCCUAAUUGCUUUUCCUUUUCAUUUGACGUAAGCUAUUACCAAUAGAUUUUGUUUCCUCUAAAAGUGCAGUAUAUUUCCAAUACAAUCAACAUGCCAACUACAUUGCUUCCUUGGUGAUCCUUCAGUUACCUUUCUAAUACCGGUUUGUCUGUAAAUUCUCUUCCUUGGGUGCUCAGUUUGUGCAAAUAACAGUAUUAUUGUCUAAAUACAAUAGCAGUUUCUUCCUUCCCUUCUUCUUCCCUUUCUUUCUUCUUUUUGUUUUUCUUUUAUUUGACAUUUUCCCCCCAAGCCUUCCCCUCAUCCCCCCUUUCCUUCUUGCCUUAUCUAGGACCAAAUCUCCAGGACAAGUCUGAAGAGAGGAAUUCCUACAUAGAACACAUCAUUAUCUCAUUCCUCCCUUUUCUCCAUUACAGAUGUUAUUUACUGCAGCUAACUGAUAAGGAUCUUAAUCAGACUGAGGAAUUUCCCCUCCACUCCUUACCCAAUUUACUAAGAUCUUAAUGUUUUAACUGAAUGUUAAAUAUUGUCAGUUUAUUUUUCUUCGUGCAAUAAGUUACUUUUCUUCUAUUCUCACUGUGAUAUUGGACUUCCAGUCUUUUCAAUAUUAGACUACACCUAUGUAUCUGGCUGGAUCUAUAAGUUGGUGAGGGUACUGAAUUGCAUAACUAGAUUUGGCUAAUAUAACCUUGCUUCUGAGUUUUAAGUUUUCGUUGCAGUGAGAAAGGAGCUAGUCAUUUCUCCUUUUCUCUUUUCUUUAAUGUUAAAAAAUUUUGCCUAAUUUUGGUAGCAGAAUUUUGUUAUUUUCACACAAAGAAUUAUACUUGAGGAAGAUUUCUUCCCAGUUUGUUCUCAGACAAAAAAAAAUAUCUGAUCAAAAUGAUCAGUUUCUUAAAAAUAUGUAGUGUUCCUUUCAAAAAUAAUACAGCAAUACUUUCAAAGAAGGAUUUUUAAUCCCUCCUUCAAUUUCUUUAAGAAUUAUUAGUCAACAAUCUACAUCUACUUUCCUUUUCAGUCAUGCUCUAUUACAUAACUUAUUUUAUAUUAAUUUGUUCAUGUCUUAUUGGUUUUUAACUUCUUGCAUACUGAAGUGUAUUGGUCUACUAAUGCCAUAUUUUAAAUGUGUAUUAUGUAUUUUAGUCUAUUACUCUAUGGCUAGUAGGAUUCUGCUUUUAAAAAAAGACCAGUGGCUUCCCUUUCUAUACCUUAAAAGAGUAAACAAACAAACAAACCAUAAAGCCGAACCUUAUGGCACAGGCAGGUUCUCAUGGAGAUGAACUAAGCAUCAACAACUUACCCCAUGCAUUACAUUUUGUAAUGUAUUCAUUCAUGCAAAUUUGAAGAGCUACUUUACCUAAGAAGCAGAUACUAAAAAGAAGAACGCUGGGAGGUCAGCUGGCUUGUCUCUUGUAUGAUCCUAGGCAGGGCUCUGGAAUUACCUGUGCCUGGCCCCUUAGAUAAUAUCAAAGAGUGUCUCCAGACCCGUGGUUCUGUGCAUUUUAGGCCAUAGAGAACCACCUGGUCUCUGCUUUACUGACUGUUCAAGGGCAAACUGUCUCUGUAGCCCCGGGAGAGCCACGGAAGAUUAAAUCAUAGAUAGUUUGGGGAAUCACAGGGUAGAGGAGUACAAACUGCUUCAGCGUUAUGGAAAAAGUUCAUUGUCUGACUUAGUUGAGUGUUUCUUAUCUUGACCAUUCAACUCAUUAUCUAGGUUUCUAAACUAUAAAGCAAUCUCAGUUUGUUCUCUUUACAUAGAUGAAAGAUUAAACUUGAGGACCUUCACAUAUCUUAAAGUUAUAUAUAGACAGUUCUGUUCAGCAGUUGGAAAUAGAAAUAGGGAACUCUGAAAUAACAAUUUAAAAAAAUCCCUUCAUUUUGGUGAUUGUGUGCUAUCAUUUUACUUAGAGUUGUGAUUUCAAGAGGACCAAGAAAACUUACGAUACAUAAUGAAUGCUAAACGCCUGCGGACUGUGGUCUGCCACCCAGUGACAGAGUCACAGCAGUAGUGGCUAUGAACUCACCUUUUGCCUUGAAUUCCACCUCUAUAAAGCUAGGUUGGACAUUUCAGUUCUGUGAGCUGUGAGGAGGUUGGGGAAAUCUUGAAGGGUUGUAUUCUAUUUCAAAAAGACAUGCACUUUGUGGCGACACAGUUGCAGAGUGCUCAGAGAUGUGGAGAUAUGACUGGGGAGAUUCACAGUAGAGGCUGAAGCAGGUCCUGCCUGUUUACACACGCAUGGAAACUCAUGCGCUGGACACUCUUCAGGUGGCCUCCCGGAAUCACUUAGAAUACUUUUUGGCUUCCAGGAAUAGAAAAUCCUGAUUUGCUUAAGCCAUAACAGAAAAAAAAGUUAUUCAUUGGUAAGAGCUGAGGCAGGUGCUGUCUCCUUCCCAUCUCUUCUCUUAGCAUUGACCUCUUGUAUGCAUCAGGUUUAUCCAUGGGCUGGAAGCCAGGUAGCUACAGAAGGUUUGAGGCUUCUAUUUUCCUGUAACCACACUGGGAGGAAGUGUUUCUCUUCCUCUGAAUGCUAUAGUUGGGUGCUAUUGUUAAAGACAGAGUGAGUUGGGAAGGGGACAAAAGAGACACAAACAGUGGGGGGCAGAG